rnacentral:lncRNA from 1 species
GACAAAGGAAAUAAAGAUUGCGUAUGUAUCUAACCCACUGACACAAAUCUUAGACUACCCAUUCAAACUAAAACACAUCACCUGACACUUCAUCUAAGUUUCUACCUCUCAAGUUUCAAUUAACCAACCUAACCAACACCUUUCUGCUUAUUCCCGGUUGACUAACCGAAUCCAUACAAAAUUCGACUAGCCAAGCAACCUUCUUACGUAUCUUCUUUCUGUUUUUACUCUCACGGCAUAUAUAAUCUAUUUUUUUUAGUUUGUUUUAAA